GAUGAACGCUAGCGGGAGGCCUAACACAUGCAAGCCGAGCGGUAUUGUUUCUUCGGAAAUGAGAGAGCGGCGUACGGGUGCGGAACACGUGUGCAACCUGCCUUUAUCUGGGGGAUAGCCUUUCGAAAGGAAGAUUAAUACUCCAUAAUAUAUUGAACGGCAUCGUUUAAUAUUGAAAGCUCCGGCGGAUAGAGAUGGGCACGCGCAAGAUUAGCUAGUUGGUGAAGUAACGGCUCACCAAGGCGAUGAUCUUUAGGGGGCCUGAGAGGGUGAUCCCCCACACUGGUACUGAGACACGGACCAGACUCCUACGGGAGGCAGCAGUGAGGAAUAUUGGUCAAUGGGUGCAAGCCUGAACCAGCCAUCCCGCGUGAAGGACGACUGCCCUAUGGGUUGUAAACUUCUUUUGUAUAGGGAUAAACCUACUCUCGUGAGGGUAGCUGAAGGUACUAUACGAAUAAGCACCGGCUAACUCCGUGCCAGCCGCCGCUGUAACAC
rnacentral:rRNA from 1 species